CAAUAGCGUAUAUUAAAGUUGUUGCAGUUAAAAAGCUCGUAGUUGGAUUUCUGGUUGAAGCGACCGGUCGGGCGUUGAUUCGUCUGCACUGGAGUCGGUUUUGGCCAUCCUCUAGGAAAGUGCGUAUGGUAUUAAGUUAUCGGGCGUAUGAUCCUGGUCUUUUACUGUGAAAAAAUUAGAGUGUUUAAAGCAGGCCUUCGCCUUGAAUACAUUAGCAUGGAAUAAUAAGAUAGGACUUUGGUCUAUUUUGUUGGUUUGCAGACCGAAGUAAUGAUUAAUAGGGAUAGUUGGGGGUAUUUAUAUUCCGAUGUCAGAGGUGAAAUUCUUAGAUUUUCGGAAGAUAAACUUAUGCGAAAGCAUUUACCAAGGAUGUUUUCAUUAA
rnacentral:rRNA from 1 species